GAUGAAGAACGUAGCGAAAUGCGAUAAGUAAUGUGAAUUGCAGAAUUCAGUGAAUCAUCGAAUCUUUGAACGCACAUUGCGCCCGCCAGUACUCUGGCGGGCAUGCCUGUUCGAGCGUCAUUUCAACCAUCAAGCCCCCGGCUUGUGUUGGGGACCUGCGGCUGCCGCAGGCCCUGAAAAGCAGUGGCGGGCUCGCUGUCACACCGAGCGUAGUAGAUUUCAUCUCGCUCAGGGCGUGCUGCGGGUUCCGGCCGUUAAACCACCUUCAUAACCCAAGGUUGACCUCGGAUCAGGUAGGAAGACCCGCUGAACUUAAGCAUAUCAAUAAGCGGAGGA
rnacentral:misc_RNA from 1 species